UACAGGGGUGCAAACGUUGCUCGGAAUUAUUGGGCGUAAAGCGCGCGUAGGCGGCUACUUAAGUCGGAUGUGAAAUCCCUCGGCUUAACCGAGGAACUGCCUUCCAGACUGUCUGGCUUGAGACCGGGAGAGGUGAGUGGAAUUCCCAGUGUAGCGGUGAAAUGCGUAGAUAUUGGGAGGAACACCAGUGGCGAAGGCGGCUCACUGGACCGGUACUGACGCUGAGGCGCGAAAGCGUGGGGAGCAAACAGG
rnacentral:rRNA from 1 species